CUGCAGGUACAAAGCUACCCAGGUCGUCGUACCAGAGCAUAAAGAAUGAUGGAAGGGUAUUUUCGACUUUUAGCAUAGGUAGCAUGUGUUGCGCGGUGGGCUGGCGGUUGGCUCCCCUCUGAUCUGAUCGAUGGCAGCGGGUGGGGAGGUGGUGGCGGACGCGGUGGUCCCGACCGAUGGAAGCGACGUGGUGGCAGUUCCCGGCCGGCGUCGGCGGUGGUGGAUCCAUGCGAGAUGUUCCUGGCCAGCGGCGGCGGUGGCGGAUCCGUGCGAGGCGGUUCCCGGCCGGCGUCGGCGGCGGUGGUUCCGUGCGAGAUGGUUCCCGGCCGGCGACGGCGGCGGUGGAUCCGUGCGAGAUGGUUCUCAGCCAGCGGUGGCAGAUCUGAGCGAGACAGUUCUUGGCCGGCGGAAGUGUUUUGAUGUGGUGGUGUUCGCAGCGGCCAGGCGGAGCAGAUCGAGUGGAAUAAGAUCCAGACCCCGACCAAUGUGGUGGUGGUUCCAUACGACACACUCUCACCGGCUCCCGAAGAUCUCAGCGAGACGAAGAAGCUGCUCAACAAGCUUGUCCUGCUCAAGCUCAAUGGAGGGCUUGGGACGACCAUGGGCUGCACUGGUCCCAAGACGAUGAGCAAUGUGACAUCCAAGAAUACAAAAGGCGGUCGAGCAACUUUGGCACACCCUGGAACAUGCAAAACCAGGUAGGAGUAGUUCAGAUUGAACCCUAUGUUGAAAAAAAAAACAAAGGCAGAAGAAGAGGGGAUGAAGCUAGAGCUGGAAAUGGCCGACCGUCUGUCCGAUAUGGAAAUCUCAUUCAAGAAGUUGGCCAAGCAGAAAAAAAUAACGAUAUCACAAAUUGGUUCAUAGCAUCAGUAGUUAUAGCUGUGUUUCUUCUCAUGAAAAUUUUAGAUAACAUGUAAUAUGAUAGCCGUUGUUGAUGUCCUGCAAGUCUUUUAGUUGUGGUAAUGGAAAAUCCCUUUGUAUUUUGUCAUCUCGUAUGCCCUAGCAGAAAUGGAUUUUCAGCCCUUUUUAACUGGCCAUUGUUCAUGUCGGUUGAUGUGUACCACCUGGAUAAUCUGUCCCAUUAUUGGAAAUUAUCACAGACGUUUCACA